UACGAAGGGGGCUAGCGUUGCUCGGAAUCACUGGGCGUAAAGGGUGCGUAGGCGGGUCUUUAAGUCAGGGGUGAAAUCCUGGAGCUCAACUCCAGAACUGCCUUUGAUACUGAAGAUCUUGAGUUCGGGAGAGGUGAGUGGAACUGCGAGUGUAGAGGUGAAAUUCGUAGAUAUCGGGAGGAACACCAGUGGCGAAGGCGGCGACCUGGGCCAAUAUUGACGCUAAUGUGCGAAAGCGUGGGGAGCAAACAGG
rnacentral:rRNA from 1 species